UAGCAGAUGCUAACAAAUCAGGAGAAAUCCUAGUGCCAUCAAUUCAGAAUGCAGACAAUGCUAUUCUAAAAACAACUGAAAAUACUUAGCUGCUUCCUCCUCUGCGGUGAGAAUUUGGCUGGAAUCUUCCUGGGAAUAACUAUCAGUCACUUGCAAAAGAGUCCUACCUCUCUGAGCCUGCUUGGGGAAGGUCAGCGUCAGCUGGAAGAGA